rnacentral:misc_RNA from 1 species
UUUCCGUAGGUGAACCUGCGGAAGGAUCAUUCAUAAUAAAGUGUUUUAUGGCACUUUUUAAAAAUCCAUAUCCACCUUGUGUGCAAUGUUAGAUCUCGUCAAUCUUGGCGAGAUUUUUAUACAUCAACUCAUUCUUUAACUAAUUUGUCUGAAAAAUAUUAUGGAUACUUAAUUCAAAAUACAACUUUCAACAACGGAUCUCUUGGCUCUC